rnacentral:rRNA from 1 species
GUGGGGAAUCUUGCGCAAUGGGCGAAAGCCUGACGCAGCCAUGCCGCGUGAAUGAUGAAGGUCUUAGGAUUGUAAAAUUCUUUCACCGGGGACGAUAAUGACGGUACCCGGAGAAGAAGCCCCGGCUAACUUCGUGCCAGCAGCCGCGGUAAUACGAAGGGGGCUAGCGUUGCUCGGAAUUACUGGGCGUAAAGGGCGCGUAGGCGGACAGUUUAGUCAGAGGUGAAAGCCCAGGGCUCAACCUUGGAAUUGCCUUUGAUACUGGCUGUCUUGAGUACGAGAGAGGUGAGUGGAACUCCGAGUGUAGAGGUGAAAUUCGUAGAUAUUCGGAAGAACACCAGUGGCGAAGGCGACUCACUGGCCCGUUACUGACGCUGAGGCGCGAAAGCGUGGGGAGCAAACAGGAUUAGAUAUCCCGGUAGUCC